rnacentral:rRNA from 1 species
UACGUAGGGGGGCAAGCGUUGUCCGGAUUUAUUGGGCGUAAAGAGCGUGUAGGCGGUUUGGUAGGUCCGUUGUGAAAACUCGAGGCUCAACCUCGAGACGCCGAUGGAAACCAUCAGACUAGAGUCCGGAAGAGGAGAGUGGAAUUCCUGGUGUAGCGGUGGAAUGCGCAGAUAUCAGGAGGAACACCAAUAGCGAAGGCAGCUCGCUGGGACGUUACUGACACUGAGGCGCGAAAGCGUGGGGAGCGAACAGG